rnacentral:rRNA from 2 species
AGCGGCGGACGGGUGAGUAACACGUGGGCAACCUGCCUGUAAGACUGGGAUAACUUCGGGAAACCGGAGCUAAUACCGGAUAAUCCUUUCCUACUCAUGUAGGAAAGCUGAAAGACGGUUUACGCUGUCACUUACAGAUGGGCCCGCGGCGCAUUAGCUAGUUGGUGAGGUAACGGCUCACCAAGGCGACGAUGCGUAGCCGACCUGAGAGGGUGAUCGGCCACACUGGGACUGAGACACGGCCCAGACUCCUACGGGAGGCAGCAGUAGGGAAUCUUCCGCAAUGGACGAAAGUCUGACGGAGCAACGCCGCGUGAGUGAUGAAGGUUUUCGGAUCGUAAAACUCUGUUGUUAGGGAAGAACAAGUACGAGAGUAACUGCUCGUACCUUGACGGUACCUAACCAGAAAGCCACGGCUAACUACGUGC